rnacentral:rRNA from 1 species
UACAGAGGUCCCAAGCGUUGUUCGGAUUCAUUGGGCGUAAAGGGUGCGUAGGUGGCGCGGUAAGUCGGGUGUGAAAUCUCGGAGCUUAACUCCGAAACUGCAUUCGAUACUGCCGUGCUUGAGGACUGGAGAGGAGACUGGAAUUUACGGUGUAGCGGUGAAAUGCGUAGAUAUCGUAAGGAAGACCAGUGGCGAAGGCGGGUCUCUGGACAGUUCCUGACGCUGAGGCACGAAGGCCAGGGGAGCAAACGGG